UGUCUAGCAUUUAUAAAAAUCAAAUGCAUAAUAUAAUACAUUCUAUAGGCGCUGCCUGCCGACAUCGUGCCUAUAAACUUCUGAAAUCAUUUGGUUCUAAUUUCAGUAAUGAUUUUGUUGUCAAGUCAAAUCCAGAACCAACAAAUCUAGCAUUCACAGGAUAUCGGCUGCACCUACAUACCGACCUAACAUAUUAUCAGCAAGAACCUGGAAUCCAGAUUUUACACUGCAUCCAAAAGAGUGAAUAUGGUGGAAUAAGCGAGUUUGCAGACGGAUUUAAAGUGGCCUAUGACUUACAGAAAGAAGAUCCAGAAACAUUUGACACUCUCAGUACUGUAGCACUCUCAUUCGUUAACCAUGGAUUACACAAGUCAUCGAAAGCAGAUUAUGUUUUGUGUGAUUGGAAACCAAUAAUAAGAUUAAAUCAGGAGGGUGAGAUUCAAAAAAUUGCUUUCAAUAACACUACCCGUGGCGCUUGGAUGAGUGUAGGUCCUGAUAAAAUAAAGACAAUCUACAGAGCCAUCAAAAUAUUCAACUCGGCCUUAACAAAAAAAGAAAAUUUAAUUUCUUUUGCAUUACAACAAGGUGAAGCGGCUUGUCUUAAUAACACUCGGGUACUGCACGGUCGUUCAGCGUUCACAGUUCCUCCAGGAUGUCAAACCCCACGUCACCUACAGGGGAUGUACAUUGACUGGGAUGAAAUCUAUUCCCGAAUGAGAGGAAUUACAGCUAAAUUAAAAUAAAUAUAUACAGCCUAACACAUCGAACGCACAAAUCGAAAUUUAACACGCAACUUUCUGUGUCUUCUUUAUUGUUAUUAGUAAGUCAUUUAAUCAGUAAUUCGGUCAUAUUUUAUAGUAUUUUUUUUUUCAAUUAUUCCUUUUUUGUUCGUGAUUUGUCUAGGUAUAUUUUAUGCUUUUCUUUGUGUGUUUUUAAUGCAUGGAUUUUUUAUUAACAAGUUAAAUAGAUUUGGUUUUUAAUUGUUUAGUGUAAAUACCACUCGAUUUUGCCCUUGGUCAAGAAGUAUUGUUAUGAUAUCUGAUGAUGAAAAAAUGUGUUAUAUAAUAAGUGUUACUAUAUAUAUUUUUUUUUUAUUCACACGUACAUUGGGAUAGAAUACGCCUAAUUGAAGAAAUAAAUAGGCCAUUUGAAAGUUUUUUGACCUGUUUUCAUAUGAUUUUAAAAACCAAAUCUUGUCAGCUUCUUUCCUAAUUCAUCCCAUUCUCAACUCUGCAAUAUUUUGGAAGUUUUUAGAGCUAAAGCCUAGCACACACUGCCCGGCGGUUGUGAAUGGAUGCGAUUUUAUGGAGAACGCAACCUCACGAUGCUCGUACACACAGACCGUUUAUAAUGACGUUCCGUUUAGACUUCCAUGACCAAAAGUAGGCCUAAUCAGCAGACGGCGGCGUCGCGUCGUCUAGCGCUCCCACCAGGGAGCGGAGUUGGAUUCAUCGUAGGGCCUACGACCGUCAUGCGACGGAGUUCCCAGACUUCACACACAACAUACUGGUACUCGAAAUGUGGUAAGAAUUGUCAAGACACAGGAAGCACCCCGAUUGAUUUGGUGGCAGCCGGACCAAUUCACUAAUUUAUAAAGUUUGUAUGCCAAGUUGUCCUUUUGACGCAACAUCGCGUUUUUGUUUGUUUGUUUGGUUUUUUUUUGAUAUUUUCUACCAUUAAUUUCACAAAACGCUGUAUUAUUCGCACAAAAUAUAAUACGAAUUGAGUCAUUAUCAAGGCAGAAUAGGCGAUACUAACUUCUGAGUUCAGUUCUAAACCCGGGUGCUUGCCUGGGUCCACUCUUGAGUAGAAGCGGUAAGAACAAUGCCCUGGACAUACCGUACUCUUUAAAAUAAUUUCUAUAUUUGGAAAAUUGAGAAACACAAGUGUCGGUGCCAACAGCGUGGGGUCUCGUGGAAGAAAACCCUGGACCUACCGUCGGGAAAUAGUAAAGAACACUACUUUACAGUCUCAAAGAGCCAUUUCUGGGCUUACCUCCGCCCCAACCAUACUAGGCCUGAGGUGUGUGUCAAUCUCCAGUUUCGGGACUUGGACCUCAAUAAAGUUUCAAAUAAUUGGUUGGAUGCUAUUGAUAAAAGAAAAGUUGUUGGAUUAGUCACACUUGAUCAUAAUAUUGUUAUGUAGGCCUAUGCAUGGUUUAGAAGCUAAGUUACAUUCCGGGCCCCCUUACUAUUAUAAUUUUUAUAAAUGAUUUACCAAAUCAUGUGGUGAGUGUUUUAUAGGUAGGCUUUGUGUAGGCCUAUACAUGAUACUGGAAUUUACUAUGCAGGUAGAAAGUUAAAUGUAGGCCUAGGGGAAAAUAAAAGCAAUCUUGAACAAUUUUAUUCCAAUCAAUAAAAUACGAAUUGCAUAAUUUUGAUAUUAUUAAAGCACAAUGGGCUAUUAACUUCCAGCUCAAUUACAGAUUGCAAAUCUGGGUUCUUAUCUGGGCUCAAUAUUAACAUCCAAAUUAUGUUUGCUGCAGGAUAGUAUGAACAAAUGAAUAAUAAUAAUAAUAACAAUAAUAAUAAUAACAGUGCUCGAAUAUAAGAACAAGGUGUUAUAAUCAUAUCGAGCAUAACCUCAACCCCCCCCCUAGGGGCGAAGCCAUAUUAAUAUUUGAGGGGAGGGUCAAGCCUUGUGAGCGCAGCGAGCAACUAGGCUGAGGCCAGGGGGACGACGGGCAGGGUCCAGGGAAAAUUUGCGUUAUUUUACGCGAUAAAAACAGAAUGGAGAUAUUUACCACGUUGAACGCAAUUUCUAAACAAGAAAAUACAUUUUUGAUGUGAGAUUUCACUUCCCUGCUUUCACCAACAAAGGUUAAUAAUUUUAUAAUCAUGAACUUCUGAUGAAUGCCUAUUUUGAAAUAGGUCUUAAACGCAGGCACAUGUUAGUACCUACUACAGUACAAUAUAAGCAUUUUCUUGGACGUGAGAAAGUGCAUUGCUGUUUAUCUUAUUAUUGCUUUUAUAUUAUUAUUAUUAUUAUUUUAUUUUAUUUUGAUAUGUUAUAUGAUGAAUCUUAAGUGAAUAUUAAUUAUCUUUUGUAACCCGUUGGUAACAUUGGUUGUAAGGUUAUAUCGGUCAUAUCAAUAUAUCAGGAGUUACUCAUAAUAUUAUAUCCUAAACCUAGUUGUUAAUGUUGUUCCUAGGAUUAUAAUCCUAUAUAGUGAACGUUUAGUAUAUAUUAUUGGAGUCGUUACUUGUUAUAUAGUAAUCUUUUUUAAGCGGUUGUUAAUGUUAGUUAUGAUACUGUACUGAUAUUGUAUUGAACGUUAAUUCGUAGGAUUUCUUCAUUAUCGCAACACAUUUCCUUUAUCAGGUCUAAGAAUACAUAUUUAUAGCGUAUGAUUUUUAAAGUAUUAAUACGUUUGGCAUCACAAUUUAAGUUGCGGUUAUCAAAAUCAAGAAAGUUACAUGUCAUGACACGAAUUUAGUUCUUAAUCUCUUCACGUUUAAUAAAUGAUUUAGGUAGAGCAUCAGCAUUAUGAAGUUGUUUCCAAAUUGAUUCUGCAUAAACAAACAUGUCAGAAUCGUAUUAGCUAUGUCACCUACUAGGGGUAAUGUUUUGAUUGGUCAAACACUCUUAUACUUAUACUGCAUAUAAGCUUGCAAAUAUGGCUACACUACUGCAUGCCGGUUGUCGGCAAUAUAAUACCUUCAUAUUAGUCUACGUUAUACAGCCACUGCCGUGCAUCUACCACGUUAAAAUAACAAUUACUGUACAAAUAAAAAAUAACUUGCGAGGCACGAAAUGACGUUUGCAACUAGACUAUUCAUACAUCAAAAGAAAUAAAAAAUACUCACAUGGAGUUGGCGAAAGAUGGAGAUCAAAUGAAAAAACGAGGUAUUUUAGCAAGUAUUUAAAACUUCUGUAUUUUAGGCCCUCGCCAAAAUGCCUAAAGCAUUGAUUUUUUCCAACAAAUUUUUCGCCAGGCGAUCGGUUAGCGAGAGCCCAGACUGAACACUGAAAAACUUUGCGUUGCGAUGUCAAAACAAAAUGUCAAGUUACCUGCUGCAUAAUGUAGGCCAGGGGUGGGUAUAAAAAUUGGUCGGAGGGCCAAAGUGAAUUUUUGAUUCAACAGAGGGCCACGCCCAAACUUUUAUGUUUCCAGCACUUCCACUUCCAAAAACCUUAUGCACUGCUUUUAAUAUACCUCUUGAUGCUCAGUUUUAAUGUUAAUUUUUACAGAUGAUCUGUUGUAGUCAAAGAUGGUUGGCGGGCCGCACAAAUAGUUUUUAAUUCAUUUUCAGGGGCCGCAAAAGAUCACUGUCGAGCCCCAUUCAUUUGUGAUGCCCACCUGUGAUGUAGAUUACAUUAUGUUUCAUGUAUGAAGUUAUUUACUUUGAACUAGCAAAGAAACAUAAACAAUUACACCAACUUUAUCGUAAAAAAAUCUGUAUUUAAUAACCAUGGCAUAAAAUAGAACAUUUUAAUUCUUUUUCUGUACACCCUACAAUUAUAAUAUAAUGCAACAAAUAUCCUAAAUAAAUAUAAUUCCUAAUUAUUGUAGAAAACAAAUUGGACCCAAAGAGAAACAUUCAAAGUUUUAACUUUAGAAUGUAAACAUUAAAAAAAAAAA
rnacentral:misc_RNA from 1 species